AUAUAUAUAUACAUAUAUAUAUAUGGAUAUAUAUAUAUAUGUAUAUAUAUAUAUACAUAUAUAUAUAUAUAUAUACACACACACAUAUAUAUAUAUAUGUAUAUAUAUA
rnacentral:miRNA from 1 species